UGGGGAAUAUUGCACAAUGGGCGCAAGCCUGAUGCAGCCAUGCCGCGUGUAUGAAGAAGGCCUUCGGGUUGUAAAGUACUUUCAGCGGGGAGGAAGGGAGUAAAGUUAAUACCUUUGCUCAUUGACGUUACCCGCAGAAGAAGCACCGGCUAACUCCGUGCCAGCAGCCGCGGUAAUACGGAGGGUGCAAGCGUUAAUCGGAAUUACUGGGCGUAAAGCGCACGCAGGCGGUUUGUUAAGUCAGAUGUGAAAUCCCCGGGCUCAACCUGGGAACUGCAUCUGAUACUGGCAAGCUUGAGUCUCGUAGAGGGGGGUAGAAUUCCAGGUGUAGCGGUGAAAUGCGUAGAGAUCUGGAGGAAUACCGGUGGCGAAGGCGGCCCCCUAGUCGAAGACUGACGCUCAGGUGCGAAAGCGUGGGGAGCAAACAGG
rnacentral:rRNA from 1 species